rnacentral:rRNA from 1 species
GACGAACGCUGGCGGCGUGCUUAACACAUGCAAGUCGAACGAUGAAGCCGGAGCUUGCUCUGGUGAAUUAGUGGCGAACGGGUGAGUAACACGUGAGUAACCUGCCCUUGACUCUGGGAUAACUGCUCGAAAGAGUAGCUAAUACCGCAUGUGCUCUACGGAGUAAAGCUUCGGCGGUCUGGGAAGGGCGUGCGUCUGAUUAGCUAGUUGGUAAGGUAACGGCUUACCAAGGCGACGAUCGGUAGCUGGUGUGAGAGGAUGAUCAGCCACACUGGGACUGAGAGACGGCCCAGACUCCUACGGGGGGCAGCAGUAGGGAAUUUUCCACAAUGGGCGAAAGCCUGAUGGAGCGACGCCGCGUGCAGGAUGAAGGCCUUUGGGUCGUAAACUGCUUUUCUCUGUGACGAUUAUGACGGUAGCAGAGGAAUAAGGGUCGGCUAACUACGUGCCAGCCGCCGCCGUAA